rnacentral:lncRNA from 1 species
AGGUUGGAGUGCAAUGGCACUAUCUCAGCUCACCGUGACCUCCACUUCCCAAGUUCAAGCGAUUCUCCUGCCUCAGCCUCUGGAGUAGCUGGGAUUAUAGUCAUGACCCACUGCGCCUGGCUAAUUUUUUGUAUUUUUAGUAAAGACGGGGUUUCUCCACGUUGGUCAGGCUAGUCUCAAACUCACGACCUCAGGUGAUCCGCCCACCUCAGCCUCCCAAAGUGCUGGGAUUACAGGCGUGAGCCACUUCGCCCGGCCUAGACAAUGCGUUUGACUCCAAGAGAGCCUCAAGCCACUACAAGAAUGCCAAGUAACCACUGAAUUCUGUCAGCCUUAGAGCUAGGGUCUUCUUGUUUCUAUAGAUGGCACAGCAACAGCAAACACAAAUCUACCUGCAGAGGAGGAAUCCUGCGUUUUCCUAUUGUAUAUACAGAGAUCUCUAGAAGAACCCACAAGGAGCUGGUAACAGUGGUUACCUCUGGGGAGGCAACCAGGUGACUGGGCAAAGGGGUGUGAGAGAGACUUAAUUUUCACCUUACAUGCUUCUGCUUUUUAAAUUCUGAACCAUGUAUCUAUAUUAUCCAUCCACAAAUAAAAUAAAAUAAAAUAAAAUAUACCCCCAGUGAAAGAAAAUAAAUUUUAAACCACAGGCAAUAAGAACUAACAUACACACACACUCACAUACACACAUAUAAAUAUAUACAGACAGUCCCUGAUUUAAGAUGGUUCAAUUUACAAUUUUCUAAUGUUAUGAUUGGUACCCAUAUAACUAUUCUGUUUUGACUUUCAGUACAGUAUUCACUAACUUACAUGAGACGUUCAAUACUUUAUUAUAAAAUAAGCUUUGUGUUAGAUGAUUUUGCCCAACAGUAGGCUAAUGUAAAUGUUCUGAGCUUGCUUAAGGUAAGCUAGACUAAGCUAUGAUAUUCGGUAUAUUAGGUGUAUUAACUGCACUUUUGACUUAAAGUAUUUUCAAUUUGUGACAGGUUUAUCAGAAGUAACCCCAGUGUACGUUGAGGAGCAUCUGUAUUUGGUGUACUGAAUAUAAUAUGUAUUGAAAUAUACACUAUGUAUCCAACACAGUAGAUAAUUAAAAGUCUAUUUAUAGGCAAAUGAUUAAAAAAAUUGGUGUUGAGACUCAAUGAAAUAUUAUGCAACAGUGACAAUAAAUGGGGUAGAUACACUUGUACACAGAAAAAUCACCACACCUGCAGUUAAGGGAGCUAUGAAGAUUGUCUAGCAAUAUAUUAUCAUAAAUGACAAGCAAUUCUUCACACAAAACAAAGCUAUGCCUAGCUAUAUACAGUUGUACAUGUGUAAAUGGGGUCCAGAAGUUCUGGAAAGAUUCACAUCAAAAUAAUAGCAGUUACCUUUACAGAGGGUAUUAGGAUUAAGAUGAGCUUUGAUUAUGCAUUUUGAGAAUAUAUAUCCAUG